GAUGCUGAUCAGGAAGCAGCAGCUGCAAGCCCAGUCACGGGCGGCUCAGUGACCAUCAGCCCAGUGACCCGCAGCCAGGUCUUCACCUGGGUCCUCUCAGUGAAGCCAGGGGGGCCACCCCAGCAGACAAAGCUACUGAGCCAUCUCCUGACAGUUGCUCCAGUGCAGUAAAUGUAAUUUGAAGAAGGCAGAAGGAACCCAUGGCUUUAGCCGGUUGCCCAGAUUCCUUUUUGUACCAUCCCUACUACCAGGACAAAGUGGAGCAGACACCUCGCAAUCAACAAGACCUGGCAAGACCAGGGCUCCAUGCACAGCCUGACCAACUCGUUCUGGAAUUUCUUCCCAGAACAGACAGUUACUUGGGGCCAGCAGUCAAAUGGCAGUCAAAGCCAGCUUUUGCAGAAUUUUCUGAACUCCAGUAGCUGUCCUGAAAAGUCAAGGAUUUUUGCACGUGAAAGAGCUGGGAAAGAAAUCAUGGAAAAAGCAUAUGUAAUAUGUGUGUUUGUGGAGAUCUGGCCUUUAUUGCUCCACAAAGGGAACUUCAAAGGAACCCAGACACCUACAGCUGCUGGCAGACCUGGAGGACCGCAGCACCUUCUUGAUCGCCGGCAGGACGCAGUCCAGCGCCCCCACAGACCACGGGCUCUGCGUAAAGCCAAAGUCAGGAACGAAACUAAAGAGCUGAGGUUGCUCUGUGCAGAGGGUGAGCAAACCAGGGCAUGCUGGAUGACAGCGUUCAGACUCCUCGAGCCCGGAAUGCUCCUUUACCGGAAAUAACCGCAUCCCUCAGCAGAGGAAGGCCUUGCUGUCCCCAUUCUCAACGCCAGUGCGCAGUGUCUCCAAGGUCUCCCUCGUGGCGAUGGAUUUUUCUGGGCAAACAGGAGGCGUGAUAGAGAAUCCGGCGGAGGCCCAGAGUGCAGACCCAGAAGCAGGCCACGCCUGGCGGAAGCGAAGCACACCGCUGAACAUACUAGGCAGCCCACGUCCCCUCCACCCGUCUACCCUAAGUACCGUGAUCCACAGGACACAGCACUGGUUUCACGGGAGGAUCUCCAGGGAGGAAUCCCACAGGAUCAUUAAACAGCAAGGGCUGGUGGACGGGCUUUUUCUCCUCCGUGACAGCCAGAGUAAUCCAAAGGCAUUUGUACUCACACUGUGUCAUCACCAGAAAAUUAAAAAUGUCCAGAUCUUACCUUGCGAGGACGACGGGCAGAUGUUCUUCAGCCUAGAUGACGGGAACACCAAACUCUCUGACCUGAUCCAGCUGGUCGACUUUGACCAACUGAACAAAGGAGCCCUGCCUUGCAAACUCAAGCACCACUGCAUCCGAGUGGCCUUAUGACCGCAGACGGCCUCUCGGCUGAAGACUGGAGGAAGUAAACACUGGAGCGAAGAAGCAGUCUGUGAGUUAGUUAAGAUCACACGUCGAUUCUGCACCUGGGGACCCAGAGUGAGAUGGGUUCAUUCGGUGCCAGCCGACGAAGAUUGACUAGUUUGUUGGACUUAAACGACGAUUUGCUGCUGUGAACCCAGCAGAAUCGCCUCCCUCUGCAUCGGCCAUAUUGGGGAGUACAUGAAAGAUCCAGCGCAAAUUUGAGAAUAAACUGAAAUGAUCAUCUUGUCUUGUGCCGCUUAGGAGCAAGAACUGGAGAGAAAUGAUUGGAAAUGAACUCCUGCCCUGGAAUA